rnacentral:rRNA from 1 species
AUGCCUAUCAUGUACCGUGAGUGUGAAUUUCAUUAGCAAAUAUGGUCUUAAUACACCACGGAUACAUCAUAUAUGAUUGUAGGAUUUGGAUACAAACUCUAAUGAGCUUAUCUACAAGUUUCUUCUUUGGGCAGUGCUAGGCGCGGGUCCGCCGGCCCAAAUUUGGGCCGGUCGCACCUUGCCCGUCCGAUACGUGCCACUUGCACCUUUGAUCUGCUCUCCCUAUUUGCUUCGUCCUACUCCCUUGCCUCAAAAAGUCAACGAAGUGCCUCCCCUUCGUCUGGUCGGGCCAGUCCCAUCUCGGUGCGCGCCAUCCGCCUCGCCGGUGCAGCGGCUUCGACUCCAUCGCACCCCCUGUUGUCACGCUGCCGUCGAGAAUGAUGCACCGCCGUCAGUGGUCACCAUGGUUGCAACUCUGGCACCGCCAGUUCCAACCGCGGUCACCAGGGUUGCAUCACCAGCGUCGCCGUGGUUGACGACUUGCAUUGUCGUGUCCAGAAAAAAAGUCUAAAAGCAAAAAAAUCUUCAUUUGUCACUUGAAGCAAAAAAUUAUCAGGUUCCAGCAAAACAACUCAACAGGAAGAACUCCGAGUUGUCAAUUGUAGCAAAAAAAUAGGUACUUCCAGCAAAAAUAUAUAGUGGUUCCAGCAAAAGAAAACCUCAGCGGCGAGGGCGCGUCCAUUUGCAGCAAGACAACUCAGCAGGAAAGAACUCCCAAUGGUCGAUUGUGGCAAAAAAAAAGGUAGUUCCAGCAAAAAAUACAUUAGUUCCAGCAAAAAAAAAGGCUCGACGGCAAGGGCGCGUCCGGUUCCAGCACAUCGCGUGGUCGAUUGUAGCAAUUACCGAUGCUGGUUCCAGCAAAAUGGUUGGUUGGUUGCAGUAGAGUAUAUCGUCGGGUUCCAGCACAAAUCGCCGCCCGACAGUUCCAGCACGGGCACCAGCCGGCUUGCAACUUCUCCGCCCGUCCGUUCCAGCAUGGCCGCACGGUGAAGCUACGAGCGGUGGGACGCUCCUCCCGAUUGUACGAUGAUGGAGCGCAAAGAUGGUGCUACAGAUCCUCUUCGUCGUCGACGACCGCGGCUUCGGAAGCAGCCGGAUGGCCGGCUCGUCAGCUCGCCCAUAGGCGACUGUGGUGCCCGCUGGAUGCGCUCGAUGGUGGAGCUCGCAGGAAGCCAGGAAGGCGCGGUCCUCGGUGGCUUCACCGACAUCGGUGUGAGGAGAGCAAAUAGUGGCGGUGGCUGGGUGCCCGCGCUGGGAAGAAGGGGAUUAGAGGAGAAGACUUGCGUGGCUACGGG